UCGUGGGGCGCGCCCCCAGCGCCCCGCCGCCGCCCGCCCCUCGGCCGCUCCUGUGCCCGCGCCGCUUGGCUCCCCUCGCACGGCCUCAGCAAAAUGCCUGUGCCCUGCCGCUGCCCCGAGCGCUGCGCAGCCCCGGUGUUCUUUGACGCGUCAGUUUGGGAUGGCAGGAAAGUCCUGGAGCAAGUUGUGAUGGGUUGUGCAACAGCGUGAAGGUACUUGGUGCCACUUAAAGAUAACCGAGAUGGACACAGCAAGAAGAUGGCCAUCUGCAAGCCAGGGAGAGAGUUCUCGCCAGGAACCAAAUCUGCUUGACACCUUGAUUUUGGAUUUCCAGCCUCUAGGAGGGUAAGAAAUAAAUGUAUGCUGUUUCCACCACUCA